GCGGCGGUGGUCUAGUGGUCAAGACGCUGGAUCAAUAUGUCUUGCAAACACAAGCUCGGCAGUUGCGCCUCCCCUUAUACCCUGGUGGACUCACGUCUUCCUGUUUGGCAACAUGACGAUGCAGAGAUCGUGGGUUCGAAUCUCACUCGCCGCA
rnacentral:tRNA from 1 species